rnacentral:sRNA from 1 species
GCAAGUCUCUGUCCAGCUCCAACCAUUA